rnacentral:lncRNA from 1 species
CCAAGUAUAUAAUAAAGGAAGUUUGCCAAUUUCGCAAUUGGGGAAUAAAGAUAUGACUUGCACAAAAUGAUAACACACAUUAAUAACGAUGAUUUUGCUUAUAAAUAAGUUAACCUUCUAAACAAGUUUUCUUCCAACUUGAGAGUCAAAUAAAACUAAUACUGGGUGCAUUAGUGCAUAUAUAUUACAAGAGAAAAAUAGCCACCAUUGACUUACUAAUUCUGAACACAAUAUUUGCACAGCUGCACUUUCCUCAUCAUGCCAUUUAAACAUUCCACUACCAGGAGAAAUAAAAAAGAAGGUAGUGGAUCAUUUUUCUUCAAAUUUCUAUUAUAAACACUUCUACAAUAGAACUAUUAUGAAUUAAAGUACAAGAGUUACCUAAAAAAUACACACACUAGCAAAAUCCUUAUGUUUAUCGUACAUUCCAAAUUUUAUCAUUACCAAUUUUUUUAGCUAAAGUGAAUGAUACAUUUUAUCAAACGGAGAGAGAGAGGGGGAAAAGGUGGUAUUUUUUCAAUCAAUGGAGGAUAAGUAGAGGGGGAGAAUGAAGACUUAAAGGUUAUCUAAAACAUGUACAUAAUAUGCAAAAAUGUCUUUACAAGAAUUGUGAGGCUUUACUAGACCAGAUAGAAUCACAUACAAUAUCAAAACCUUUAAUUCAAAAGCAAAAGGACUAGAAGUCAUCUUAUUCGCUUGAUUGUGAUGAUGCAGGUGGAGAAACAGGUUCACCUUGAUGUCUGAAAGGUGAUUGUUGAAGAGUUAAGGAAUGAGAGAGGACUCAUCAUUGGAUAUUCAUCAUCAAUUGUUUGUGUUCAAGUCCAAACCUCUGAAAUUAUUGUUUCCCAUUUCUUUCUCCUUUCACCCUUUUGUAUAAUUUUGUAUGAGUUUCCUUUACAUUUUGAAGGGAAUAUACACACAAGGGUUAAGGGGGCAAGUGUAAAAGAAUACAUAUCCUCUGUCCCGUACCUUAUC